CCUACGGGAGGCUGCAGUGGGGAAUAUUGCACAAUGGGGGAAACCCUGAUGCAGCGACGCCGCGUGAGCGAUGAAGUAUUUCGGUUUGUAAAGCUCUAUCAGCAGGGAAGAAAAUGACGGUACCUGACUAAGAAGCACCGGCUAACUACGUGCCAGCAGCCGCGGUAAUACGUAGGGGGCAAGCGUUAUACGGAUUUACUGGGGGUAAAGGGAGCGUAGACGGCGGUGCAAGCCAGAUGUGAAAGCCUGGGGCUCAACCACGGGACUGCAUUUGGAACUGUGCUGCUAGAGUGUCGGAGAGGCAGGCGGAAUUCCUAGUGUAGCGGUGAAAUGCGUAGAUAUUAAGAGGAACACCAGUGGCGAAGGCGGCCUGCUGGACGAUGACUGACGUUGAGGCUCGAAAGCGUGGGGAGCAAACAGGAUUAGAUACCCGGGUAGUC
rnacentral:rRNA from 1 species